AUUGUGGGAAUGAUGAAAAGGUUGGUGUUAAACCAAUUAAAUUUGAUUGAAUUGUGGGAAUGAUGAAAAUGUUAUAGUUAAACCCAUGAAAAUUGAUUAAAUUGUGGGAAUGAUGAAAUUGUUGCUCUUAAAACCAUAAAAUUUGAUUGAAUUGAGUAAAUGACGAAAACGUUGCUAUUAAACCCAUGGAAUUUUAUUGAAUUGUGGGAAUGAUGAAAAGGUUGCUGUUAAACCAAUAAAAUUCAAUUGAAUUGUGUCAAUGAUGAAGACUUUUUUUUAAACCCAUGAAAUUAGAUUGAAUUGUGUGAAUGAUGAAAAUGUUAUUGAUAAAC
rnacentral:lncRNA from 1 species